GGGAGCGCUGCGGGUGGCCCCGCAGGUGCUGGCUGCGCUGGGACACCGCGCGGCACCAAUGUCCUUGUCGCUGCCCAGCAGCCGUGCCACCAGCCGCCCGGAGAGCGGGCCAUUAAUCGAGUUUUCCACACGGCUGAUGGUGCCCCGCAGCUCUGUAGCGGCCGAGGUGACACCUCGCUCCACGCCCUGUGACACUCCGUGCCGUGGAGGUGACACCUCGCUCCACGCCCUGUGACACUCCAGCUGGCAGAGCCAGCACCAGGCACUUGGAGCCAGUGCAAAAUCCUGGCUGCUCCCACAGCUCCUCCUUACCUGGCCAUGCCAGAGCCCCACGUUGGGUGUCCCACCUGAGAGAACGCUGCUCAGCCAGGGACUGGACACCCAGCAGCUCUGCAGGCAGAGCAGGGGCUGAAGCCAGGAGCUCCUGGGGAGCUGCUAGCCUGUCCCUGAGCUGAUCCCUUCUGGGAUGUAUUUAUGGAAGGCAAUCAGCCCACCAGCUCUAGGGGCCCAGGUGAUCCCUGUGAUUAUCCACCAGCCUCAGGGGUGGGAGUAGCUGAAGAGGCCUUUCCCUGUGCCACUCACCUGGAGUUUCUAAUCCACCCAAUAUGUGAGGAGAAUGCAACUGCAGCUCCGGCCUUUGGGCUGGUAAUUAAUAAUCAGUGACAACGAUGGGUUGUGAUUACUAGGGACAAGAUCCAGCUCACUAUCUCUCUACUGUGACCACCUAGAAGUUCCACCUUCCCUCAUGCUGUGCAAUCUUUGACUAGCAAAUGAGAUUAAACCUGUUCUGAUUUUGUGGUCAUGCUUGUAACCUGUUUUCCCCCUGGGUAUGUUUGGGAAUCUUCUGACUACAAAUCAUUCUCUUAAGACACCACAAAGUUUGAAGUAAACAGUGAUUUAGAGCUUAACGUUGGCCAGAUCCACGCCAACAGCAAUUCUCAUUCAUGAGCUGCAUUUGCUUCCUGCAGCUCAUGGGUUAAUGUUUUUUCCUGUCUAUGCCCAGUAACUCUCACAUGUCUUUAACACAACUUGAAGUCAGCAUGAAACCCCCAGGUGAGCUGCUGUCAGUUUGUACAUUUGCAUACAUGGGCUUUUUGUUUAAAUCCAGUUCAUAUACCAUGGAAUUAAUGAGCUCCUGGGCAGGGUACGGGCAGCACCUGGCCCUGCUUUGGGCAGCAGGGUGCCCAGGGUGUGCUGGUGAGCCUGGUCACAGGGGAGCUGCAGGUCUGCUCUGGUGGCUGCCAGCCUCCACAGCUCCCCUGUGUGCCAGGGCUGUGGAGCAUCCUCUGCUCUGUGCCCCCAGGGACAGGCUGGGGUUUGGCUCCACAGCGAGGCCCCGCAGCCAAACCCCGGCUUUGGGCUGUGAGAGCCCCAGGAGGGGCACAGGAACCUUCCCUGGCCUUGCCCUCCUCCUCCUCCUCUUCUGCAUGAGGAAGGACAUGGGGCACUCCUGGGGGUGUCUGGAGCCUGAUUGCAUGGGCACAGCAAUUUCAAAUACUCUAAAGGCACAGGACUUAUUACUUGGCAUGUGGCUGUGAAUUACUGUGUGUUCCAAGAACAGAUGUGAAAAUACUUAUUUUUCUGGUGUGCUGUGAUUUUAAUAUUGUUAAGUUCAAUUUUUUUGUAAACACUACUGAAACCUGACUGCAACAUCUGCAGGGACAGUGCUACCUUUUAUUUACACUCAGGUUAUGUAGCUGCUUUAAUUAAAGAGUAAACAAUC